GAUGAACGCUGGCGGCGUGCCUAAUACAUGCAAGUCGAGCGAACAGACGAGGAGCUUGCUCCUCUGACGUUAGCGGCGGACGGGUGAGUAACACGUGGAUAACCUACCUAUAAGACUGGGAUAACUUCGGGAAACCGGAGCUAAUACCGGAUAAUAUAUUGAACCGCAUGGUUCAAUAGUGAAAGACGGUUUUGCUGUCACUUAUAGAUGGAUCCGCGCCGCAUUAGCUAGUUGGUAAGGUAACGGCUUACCAAGGCAACGAUGCGUAGCCGACCUGAGAGGGUGAUCGGCCACACUGGAACUGAGACACGGUCCAGACUCCUACGGGAGGCAGCAGUAGGGAAUCUUCCGCAAUGGGCGAAAGCCUGACGGAGCAACGCCGCGUGAGUGAUGAAGGUCUUCGGAUCGUAAAACUCUGUUAUUAGGGAAGAACAAAUGUGUAAGUAACUAUGCACGUCUUGACGGUACUUAAUCAGAAGGCCACGGCUAACUACGU
rnacentral:rRNA from 1 species